UGGGGAAUAUUGGACAAUGGGCGAAAGCCUGAUCCAGCCAUGCCGCGUGUGUGAAGAAGGUCUUCGGAUUGUAAAGCACUUUAAGUUGGGAGGAAGGGCAGUAAGCGAAUACCUUGCUGUUUUGACGUUACCGACAGAAUAAGCACCGGCUAACUCUGUGCCAGCAGCCGCGGUAAUACAGAGGGUGCAAGAGUUAAUCGGAAUUACUGGGCGUAAAGCGCGCGUAGGUGGUUCGUUAAGUUGAAUGUGAAAGCCCCGGGCUCAACCUGAGAACUGCAUCCAAAACUGGCGAGCUAAAGUAAGGCAGAGGGUGGUGGAAUUUACUGUGUAGCGGUAAAAUGCGUAGAUAUAGGGAGGAACAACAAUGGCGAAGGCGACCACCUGGGCUCAUACUGACACUGAGGUGCGAAAGCGUGGGGAGCAAACAGG
rnacentral:rRNA from 1 species